AAAUUGAAGAGUUUGAUCAUGGCUCAGAUUGAACGCUGGCGGCAGGCCUAACACAUGCAAGUCGAACGGUAACAGGAAGCAGCUUGCUGCUUUGCUGACGAGUGGCGGACGGGUGAGUAAUGUCUGGGAAACUGCCUGAUGGAGGGGGAUAACUACUGGAAACGGUGGCUAAUACCGCAUAACGUCGCAAGACCAAAGAGGGGGACCUUCGGGCCUCUUGCCAUCAGAUGUGCCCAGAUGGGAUUAGCUUGUUGGUGAGGUAACGGCUCACCAAGGCGACGAUCCCUAGCUGGUCUGAGAGGAUGACCAGCCACACUGGAACUGAGACACGGUCCAGACUCCUACGGGAGGCAGCAGUGGGGAAUAUUGCACAAUGGGCGCAAGCCUGAUGCAGCCAUGCCGCGUGUAUGAAGAAGGCCUUCGGGUUGUAAAGUACUUUCAGCGGGGAGGAAGGUGUUGUGGUUAAUAACCGCAGCAAUUGACGUUACCCACAGAAGAAGCACCGGCUAACUCCGUGCCAGCAGCCGCGGUAAUACGGAGGGUGCAAGCGUUAAUCGGAAUUACUGGGCGUAAAGCGCACGCAGGCGGUCUGUCAAGUCGGAUGUGAAAUCCCCGGGCUCAACCUGGGAACUGCAUUCGAAACUGGCAGGCUUGAGUCUUGUAGAGGGGGGUAGAAUUCCAGGUGUAGCGGUGAAAUGCGUAGAGAUCUGGAGGAAUACCGGUGGCGAAGGCGGCCCCCUGGACAAAGACUGACGCUCAGGUGCGAAAGCGUGGGGAGCAAACAGGAUUAGAUACCCUGGUAGUCCACGCCGUAAACGAUGUCUACUUGGAGGUUGUGCCCUUGAGGCGUGGCUUCCGGAGCUAACGCGUUAAGUAGACCGCCUGGGGAGUACGGCCGCAAGGUUAAAACUCAAAUGAAUUGACGGGGGCCCGCACAAGCGGUGGAGCAUGUGGUUUAAUUCGAUGCAACGCGAAGAACCUUACCUGGUCUUGACAUCCACAGAACUUUCCAGAGAUGGAUUGGUGCCUUCGGGAACUGUGAGACAGGUGCUGCAUGGCUGUCGUCAGCUCGUGUUGUGAAAUGUUGGGUUAAGUCCCGCAACGAGCGCAACCCUUAUCCUUUGUUGCCAGCGGUCCGGCCGGGAACUCAAAGGAGACUGCCAGUGAUAAACUGGAGGAAGGUGGGGAUGACGUCAAGUCAUCAUGGCCCUUACGACCAGGGCUACACACGUGCUACAAUGGCGCAUACAAAGAGAAGCGACCUCGCGAGAGCAAGCGGACCUCAUAAAGUGCGUCGUAGUCCGGAUUGGAGUCUGCAACUCGACUCCAUGAAGUCGGAAUCGCUAGUAAUCGUGGAUCAGAAUGCCACGGUGAAUACGUUCCCGGGCCUUGUACACACCGCCCGUCACACCAUGGGAGUGGGUUGCAAAAGAAGUAGGUAGCUUAACCUUCGGGAGGGCGCUUACCACUUUGUGAUUCAUGACUGGGGUGAAGUCGUAACAAGGUAACCGUAGGGGAACCUGCGGUUGGAUCACCUCCUUA
rnacentral:rRNA from 1 species